UUUCCGUAGGUGAACCUGCGGAAGGAUCAUUAUUGUAUACUCGAGGUGAGAGGGCUGUCGCUGACCCGAAACGUCGUGGCAGCACGAGUAAUAUCACACACAUCCAACUUGCACCAAUGUUCACCACCGUGUAGGACCCCCCUCUGCUUUUUCGGAGGGGGGCAUACGGUUUCACAUCAACUUUGUACGCAGCGUAGCAUGUAUCUUUUGUUUUUGCGAUGACGCCAGCAAUACAACUUUCAACAACGGAUCUCUUGGUUCUG
rnacentral:misc_RNA from 1 species